rnacentral:rRNA from 1 species
GUGUCAGCCGCCGCGGUAAUACGAGAGGUCCAAACGUUGUUCGGAUUCACUGGGUGUAAAGGGCGCGUAGGUGGUUGUCUGUGUCUCAUGUGAAAACUCAGGGCUCAACUCUGAGAUGGCGUGGGAAACUAGGCAGCUAGAGGACGGUAGAGGGGAGUGGAAUUCCCGGUGUAGCGGUAAAAUGCGUAGAUAUCGGGAGGAACACCGGUGGCGAAGGCGGCUCUCUGGGCCGAUCCUGACGCUGAGGCGCGAAAGCUAGGGGAGCGAACCGAAUUAGAUACCCGGGUAGUCCUAGCCGUAAACGAUGGGUGCUAGGUGUUGGGGGGUAAAGACCCUUCAGUGCCGAAGCCAACGCGAUAAGCAUCCCACCUGGGGAGUACGGCCGCAAGGUUGAAACUCAAAUGAAUUGGCGG